AAUCCAUGAUGUGGAAUGAUCUGAGCAUACUUUUGAAUAUAUCCCACACUUCAUAAAGAGAUUUCAUAUCAAUUUGUUUGAAAUUAGCAAUCUGAUUUCUCAUAUG